rnacentral:rRNA from 1 species
UACGGAGGGUGCAAGCGUUGCUCGGAAUCAUUGGGCGUAAAGCGCACGUAGGCGGACUGCUAAGUCGGAUGUGAAAGCCCUCGGCUUAACCGAGGAAGUGCAUUCGAAACUGACAGUCUUGAGUAUGGAAGAGGGUCGCGGAAUUCCCGGUGUAGAGGUGAAAUUCGUAGAUAUCGGGAGGAACACCAGUGGCGAAGGCGGCGACCUGGGCCAAUACUGACGCUGAGGUGCGAAAGCGUGGGGAGCAAACAGG